rnacentral:rRNA from 1 species
CCUACGGGCGGCAGCAGUGGGGAAUAUUGCACAAUGGGGGAAACCCUGAUGCAGCGACGCCGCGUGAGCGAUGACGUAUUUCGGUAUGUUAAGCUCUUUCUGUCGGGGAGCAAAUGACGGUACCUGUAUAAGAAGCCCCGGAUAACUACGUGCCAGCAGCCGCGGUAAUACGUAGGCGGCCAGCGUUAUCCGGAUGUACUGGGUGUAAAGGGGGCGUAGACGGCGGGGCAAGCCAGAUGUGAAAGGCUGGGGCUCAAACCCGGGACUGCAGUUGGAACUUUGCGGAUAGAGUGUGGGAGAGGGAUGCGGAAUGCGUGGUGUAGCGGUGAAAUGCGUAGAUAUUAGGAAGAACACCAGUGGCGAAGGCGGCCUGCGGGA